GCCAGAGUGGUGUAGUGGUUUGAGUAUUGGACUAUGACUCUGGAAACUAGGGUUCAAAUCCUGGCUUGGCCA